CUCAGAGAGCUGGAGAGACAUGGUGGAGCUCAGAGAGCUGGAGAGAGACAUGGUGGAGCUCAGAGAGCUGGAGAGAGACAUGGUGGAGCUCAGAGAGCUGGAGAGAGACAUGGUGGAGCUCAGAGCUGGAGAGAGAUGGUGGAGCUCAGAGAGCUGGAGAGAGACAUGGUGGAGCUCAGAGAGAGACGUGAUGGAGCUCAGAGAGAGACGUGGUGGAGCUCAGAGAGACACAUGGUGGAGCUCAGAGAGCUGGAGAGAGACAUGGUGGAGCGCAGAGAGCUGGAGAGAGACAUGGUGGAGCUCAGAGAGCUGGAGAGAGACAUGGUGGAGCUCAGAGAGCUGGAGAGAGACAUGGGAGCUCAGAGAGAGACGUGGUGGAGCUCAGAGAGAGACGUGGUGGAGCUCAGAGAGAGACGUGGUGGAGCUCAGAGAGAGACGUGGUGGAGCUCGGAGAGAGACGUGGUGGAGCUCAGAGAGAGACAUGGUGGAGCUCAGAGAGCUGGAGAGAGACGUGGUGGAGCUCAGAGAGCUGGAGAGAGACGUGGUGGAGCUCAGAG
ensembl:lncRNA